rnacentral:rRNA from 1 species
UACGUAGGGGGCUAGCGUUGUCCGGAAUCAUUGGGCGUAAAGCGCGCGUAGGCGGCCCGGUAAGUCCGCUGUGAAAGUCAAAGGCUCAACCUUUGAAUGUCAGCGGAUACUGCCGGGCUAGAGUCCGGAAGAGGCGAGUGGAACUCCUGGUGUAGCGGCGGAAUGCGCAGAUAUCAGGAAGAACACCAACGGCGAAGGCAGCUCGCUGGGACGGAACUGACGCUAAGGCGCGAAAGCGUGGGGAGCGAACAGG